rnacentral:lncRNA from 1 species
CAUGAUAAGUAUAAUGCUUUGAAUACUUCUUCUCCUUGUAUGUUAUAAUUCUUUGUGCAUGAAGGAGGAAAGUCAUUUUAUCAAAUCCAUUUCGAAAAAAAAUAUUUUUCAUAAGAAUGUGUUUGAUUUUUGUCAUUCCAGCUGUUAAGCGAGUCCGAAAAUGAGACGAAUUCUUUCAUGCAUUCGGACAAGAUUAUGCUACAGUUUUUCAAAAAUCAAAA